ensembl:rRNA 5S_rRNA 5S ribosomal RNA
GCUUACGGCCACACCACCCUGAGCGCGCCCGAUCUCGGUCUGAUCUCGGAAGCUAAGCAGGGUCGGGCCUGGUUAGUACUUGGAUGGGAGACCGCCUGGGAAUACCAGGUGCCGUAAGCU